AGAUGGUGGAGAAAGUGUUCUUAAAUGACUUAGAACUAUUCCAGAUUCCACCUCUGCCGGGCCAAAGGUGCCUCCCUGGGCACCCACCCCACAUAGCAUCACUUCUGUAGGAACACUGGGGUGGAGAAGUACCAGGAAAAAAUAAGGAAAUGGAUGGAGUUUGAGGCUUUUGCAAUAAAAGCUCUCCCCAAGACUAUUUCCUGUGUUAUGAGCAGACAAGGCCCUUGCCCUGGAGAAGCUUAUCAUCUCAUUUAAUGCAGGAAAACCCUGAAUACAGUGAAGGACGGGAGGAGAUGGAAACCACAAGAGCAAAGGGAAUGGAAAGAAGACAUGGUUCAACAUUGUUCCAGAAAAGCGGGGCUGGUGUAGUGUUUCCAUGAUCCUUGAUGCCAUGAUGGAAAAGCGCUUGGUGAGUGUGAGGCAGACACCGAUCCUUCUCUGUGUGGCCCAUUCUCAAAGGGUUCCUUCUGACACUCACCUGAGCCAAAUGAUGAAGCGCGGUGCCGUGAAGUUUUUCAUCAAGCAAUGUGGAGUGGAGGUUGGGAGAAGCAGAUGUGGAGUCAGACGCUGGGGGAACACCGCGGCUCUGCCAGUUACAAAAGCUGCUGACCUUGGACAAUCGGCUGUCUACCAGAAUGCCAAUGUGUCCCAUUCCGCAGAGUGGUGA
rnacentral:lncRNA from 1 species